AAGAGAAUAAUUCACCGAGCAAGAAGCGAAAUACUCUGCGAGGAAAAAUAUAGUUUGAGCGGUAUUAUAGUGAGGUAGAAAAAUUAAAAUUUAUUUCUUUUGAGUGUGCAGUGGUCUUGAAGUAUUUUAGUCCGUAUUUUAGUUGGCACAAGUAAAUAAAAUAUCCGGGUCAGCACAGAAAUUGUACUUAGUUUUAUCUGACAAUUUAGUCUACUUUAAUUUCAUUGUUACCUAAGUCUUAAUUGCCUAUUAUACAAGCCUUGAUGCCUGAAGUGUUUAUUAGCAUGCAAUUUUCCACAUUGUAUCCUUUACAUUUGUUUUUUGAGCAGUUAUUUCUUGUGAAGAUUCGACUGGAUUAUGUUGUUGAAAAAGAUGUGAUUUUGUCCCCAUUCUGCAGAUUAUGAUUGUGUCUGGAGUUUAUGUAUUAAGGGUACUUAGAUGCCGUUUAGGCAGGUCCUACCCUUGCUAAAUCGAUGCCACCUUUAGUUGUCUUAGUCAAAAUCAAUGUGGAUGGAGCAGUCGAUAUUGGAGCUGCUAGGAUUGUUUUUUUCGUUUGAGACCAUGAAGGUAAUCAAUUAGCUUCACAAUCGCAGCAUUUUUCUUUCAAUAUUGAUGGUGAAAUGAUUGAAGCUUGGGCAACUUUGAAAGGAGUUACACUAGGUUAUCUCUUUUUUAAUGGCUCGCUCCUGACCUGCUUGUAGUCAAAUGUAAUUGGUAUGCAGCCUAUUUGUGUUAUAUGAUGAAUUUAAACAUAUAUAGAAAGCACGCCAUAGGAAAAAUGAUAGGAAAUCAUGGUUCCCUUUGGAGAAGAACCAAAACAGCAGAGUUCCGCCUACUCAAAACUAAGAGGAUGAAUCAAACAUUUGAAUAAGGGUUGCUAAGUCAAUAAUUUCAUCAAAUGUUGGAGAAAAGGUUUUUUAUUGGAAUAGUCCGAGACUAUACAUGUCUCGUUCUCACUGCUGUUAUCUAUUGCUUUAUCUCUGUUGAAUAUUUACUCAAGAUUUCUUUUUGUGUGUUACAGGGCCCCUCUAAUUAGUUUGCGCCUUGCCUACGGUGGCUAUAAACAAGUUUGAAUGCGUAUUUCCUUUAGGGCAUGAUUCGAAGCUUUUAAUCUUAAUGAUAUAAAGAUGAGAGGAGAGCUAGGUCUUAUUCCAAUGUGAAAUUAUUUUUCUUGGUUAUGUCAAUAUUCAAUGUAACCCGAUUUUCUUAUAGGUGAACUACAUUUUGGUUUUUCCCUCCAUAAGAUGAGCCUACUGUGAUUUAGCAAAAGUAGCAGAUGGUGACUAGGGUUGUCACUAGGUUAGGCCUCUUUACUGAGCAUAAUUUAUCUGAUGUCCUCAGAAAUAACUGCAGCUUUCUUUCAUUUUUUGCCUGCUACCACCUAUAUGCAUUGAUUCAGGUAUUUGCCAAACAUAUGUGGAAAGUGUGUUGUGUGUAUCUGUGGGUGAAUCCGCGGAGCACAAACUCACUCUAGUCAUUUCACAUGUGGUUUAAUAUAGCCUGUGCUAGUGUGAAGUAGUGUUAUGCCCUAAUCCUUGAGCUCACACUCAUCCUACAGUUGUUUCAAUUAUGGUUUCAUUUCAUAGAGUCUCUAAGUUUGAGAAGCAGUGUUAUUGGCUAAUCCUUAUCCUUAAUUGGUUGAUCAUAAGUCUCAGUAGGCUAACAAUUUUCCUUUUCUUACUUUGGGCUUUAUUUGAUGAUUAUGUCUAUGUCUAUGUAAGUAAGAAUGAGAGGAAGGGCCUUAAAUUGAGUAAGUGGUUGAAUAAGGAUCUUCUACAGAAUAAAUUGUACCUUGCUGAGUAACAUGGAUUUAUAACUUAGUUUAGAGCUAUUACAGUAACUUAGUAUAAGAGGUGGUUCACAUACAAACUAAGUGGGUCAUGUAGGCAAACAUUCAUCCUUCGCUCGAGUUAAACUUGAGAAAAAUAUAAGAGAAGGAAUAAAAAGGGCAAAGGAAAAGGAAAAGAGAAACUGGAUAUGGCCAACUGAGCUUAACUCAGUACAGUUAGGUUAUUUGUGGUUUUACCAGUAAGGUUGGGCUGAGUAGCUAAACCGUAUGUUUCACUACUUCACUUGCAGAUAAAAUUACUUGCAAAUAAUGUUACUUCAUUGGCAUGUUGAAGUUUGUUUGUGAAGCUUUGGUUUAGAACUUGACCUUUGAUUAGAUUGUAAUUUUCCAUUGCAUUCCUUCCAAGUUGUUGGUUCUCCAGAACAAUAUUUUUCUCCCUUAUUUCUUUUCUGUCUUGUUAACUCUUACGUGUAUCCGCCCAAAAGUCGAAGUACAACUAUGGUUACAUAAGCUGUGUUUAAUGUGGACUUUUCUUCUCAUUUAAUAAACACCUUUUCCAUCUGUCAGUAGAAAUGUAAUCUAACACUUCUACUUAUUUUUGUGUGAUUUUUUGGAUCUAAUAAUUUAUAUAUUGUUCUGUGUAAAACUACUCAUGUCCAAGCGAUAUGAUAAUAUUUUUGAACUUUUCUUCUCAUUUGAUAAGCACUUCUCCAUCUGUCAAUCUGAUCGUUGAAGUAGAUAUGUAUUCUAACAUUUUUUACUUAAUGUUUUCUGGUUUGAUUAUUCAGAUCUAUUGAUUUGUAUAUUAUUUCGUGUUAGAUAUAUUUAUUUCUUUGUGAUAUGAUGAUUUAUACCCUUGUGAUAUGACUUGUUAUUAUGAUAGAAGUUGACUUUGCUCUAUAUCCAGAGUCUAAUGUCCUUAAAAUGGAUAGUAAUUGAUAAGUGCAAAGGGAAAAGGAAUCUAGUGCACAUGCAUACAGGGUUGACCUUUGGUUUAGUUGAAGAAAAUAAAUAUAAUGGCAGGUGGAAACAUUUAAUUCCUAAAUAUAAAAUUAUGAAUAAGUGGAAACCAAAGAGAAGAAAGAAACUUUUAGAGGUUGUUUCAAAUGGUUGAUUUGUACCUCAGCUAUUCUUCUUCUUUCCCUUGCAAUUUAUGUUCACAAGAGUUUCUGUUAUCACAACUUCUUAAAAAGAAAAGGAGAGAUGUCUUCAGACAAAUACAUGUUUGUAAAGAAAAUUCAUCCUCUUGAAUGUCUGCAAGCCAUUGAAAGAGAUUGGGGCUUCCUCUUGUCGCCGGGUAUUGCAAUGGAAGAAAUCAAGUUCCUUAAAAGGGAAUUCAAAUUCCUCGAUAUUUUUCCCAGAUUGCAGAGCUUCAAAUAUGAAUGUAACAUGCAAGAUGUCACACAGGAAGUUCCAACUCUGUUUGAUGAUGUUAUAGUUGACCUGAACGAGAUCUACAAGUAUCCAUAUCCAAAAACAAAAUUUGAUCCCUUAAUCUCUCAAGUGAAAAACAAGAUUUGGAUAACCAAGUUGGACAUCAGAGCUAAAUAUUCUUUUCAGAAAACGUCAUUAUGGCCUUCAGCCAACAAGGACGGUGCUGCUACUUCCAAAAUUGUACUCGAAUUUGUUGAUGCAGUUGUUGAGAUUCUUGGUGAUCUAGUGCAGACUGAUGAUCCUAGUUCCCUACAUUAUGUUCCGGAACCAAAGGACCAAAUUAAAGAGAUUUUAAAGGAGUUGAAGUUACUGAGAUUUUUCGUCUACUUUGUUUCAAUUAAAUGCAUAGAGCCUCAAAGCCGACAUACUUUCUUCAGUCACGUUUUAAUAGUGGCUGGCCACGCAGCAAUCGUUGUAUGGUUGUAUUUGCCUAGCCGUGGCGAUAGAAAUGAUCAAGACUUGGCUCCAAGUGAAAUGAAUGCUAUGCUUUCUGAUCUCAUGCAAAUGAAGAUUAAGCCCAUUCAGCCAGGCAUCCGCAAAAUCUAUAUUGAUGUCCUGCAAGAUUUGAAGUCGGCAAUACAAUCAGAAAUGCAUCCCAACAUUCAAAACAAGCAUGCAGCUGACAGUGGCUUUGUUGAGACUCUUGCGCACGAUUUGGUGGAGCUACCAACUAGUAGUAAUGCUUGUCAGGUAUUUGUUUUGAAUGAUCAAAUGGCAAUCCUUCAGGAGAUACUCAGCAACUUAAGAGGCAUUCUCAUCCAUCUGCCAACAGUAAAUCUUGAUUUUUGUCUUCAAGAUAUGGACACUGUUAUUGUUGAUGCCGGAUUUCUAAUUUACUCAUUAUAUGAUAUCAAGGGGGAGAAGGAAGACACGAUGUUGGAGGAUAUCAACCGAGCACUUAACCUUGAUCUUCCGAGCAACAUUGUGCCUAUCAAGUCAAUGAUCUACCUCAUCGUUCGAAAGGCAUUUCCUAACUUGCGAAGGAUUCAUGGACUAGGCUAUGUUGAUUUUCUUCUAAAUAACCUAAAGGAGUUCCAAGGCCGUUAUGCAAAUUCACUUGCUUUCAUCAAGAACCAACUUCAAAUUAUUCAGAAGGAGCUUGAGAGCUUGCAACCUUUUCUAAAAGCUGUUGCAGAAGAGCAACACCAUAAGUUCAAGACACUUCAAGUUUGUGCUACACAAUUGAUUAGCAAAGCAUAUGAGGUGGAAUAUGUAGUUGACGCAGCUUGUAUAAGCAAAGAAAUACCUAACUGGUGUCUCAAGCUUUGGCUCCUAGAUAUCAUAGAGGAGAUAACUCGUAUCAAAGCAGAGGUAGCAGAGAUUCCAGAAAAGCAAAUGGCCGAGGUUGACUUAGUAUUACAUGAUACCAUUGAUACUUCCACUGUUCAUACAUCAUCACAAUUGGCAAGGAAUCAAAGCAUAGCUGAUGAAAUUGUGGGAUUUGGAGACGUGAUACAAGAAUUGAGAAGACGACUAAUCAAAGAACCUAAACAGCUGGAUGUUAUCUCAAUCGUAGGCAUGCCUGGUCUGGGUAAGACAACUUUGGCCUACAAACUCUAUUAUGACAAGUCAAUUAUCUCUCACUUUGAUAUUCGUGCACAAUGUUGUGUGUCUCAAGUAUAUACAUUUCGGAAUUUAUUACUAGCCAUUCUAUGUGAUGCUAUUGGCGAGGACUCUAAACAUAAAAACAAGUCUACUAAUGAAUUAGCUGAUGAGCUUCGUAGAACUUUACUACCCAAAAGAUACCUUAUCCUUGUUGAUGACGUGUGGGAAGCUAGUGCAUGGGAUGAUUUAAGGCCUUGCUUCCAUGAUUCCAAAAAUGGAAGCAGAAUCAUUCUAACAACUCGACAUUUUGAAGUUGCCAAUUAUGCUACAUCUGUUAGUAAAGCCAUUCCUCUUCGUAUGUUUAGCGAUGAUGAAAGUUGGAAUUUACUAGAAAAUAAAGUGUUUGGUGAAGAAAGCUGCCCCCUUCCCUUUGAAGAAGUUGGGAAAGAAAUAGCAAAAAAGUGUGGAGGGCUGCCUCUUUCAGUUGUUUUGAUGGCUGGUAUUCUGUCAAAGAUGGAGAAGAAAGAAGAGAGUUGGAAAGAAGUGGCUGCGACGUUAAGUUCCCACAUACACAGUGAUUCAAAAGCUAUUGUAGAACAAAGUUAUCAGGAUUUACCCUUUCAUCUUAAGCCUUGCUUCCUUUAUUUUGGAGCAUUUUUAGAGGAUAAAGUGAUUGACGUUUCAAAGUUAACAAGGUUAUGGAUAUCAGAAGCAUUUAUUUUAAGUUACGAAGGCAAGAAUUUGGAGGAUAUAGCAGCAGGUUACUUGGAGAAUCUUAUUGGAAGAAAUCUAGUGAUGAUUGCUGAGAGGGCCAGUUUAGAUGGUAAAGUUGAAGCAUGUCGGAUUCAUGAUGUAUUGCUCGAGUUCUGCAAGAUAAGAGCAACGGAAGAGAAUUUUCUACAGUGGAUAAAAUGGGAUCAGAAUGCCAAUCCUUCUUCCUGUAUUUACUCUUACAAGCAGCAUGCUCAUGGUCGCUUGGCCUUUAGUGAUGUGGGUACUCUUGAAAAAUGGAGCUCGUCUUGCUCACUUGUUGGCUCUAUACUUUUCAGAAAAGAUACCUUACUCCGUUUCACAAUUUCACGCAUAUUUCACAAUUUCAAGUUUCUGAAAGUCUUGGAUUUGGAGGGCACUGUUAAUGUUGAUUGUUUCCCAAUUGAGCUAAUUUACUUGAGGUAUUUUUCUGCAAGAUAUGUUCUGGAGUCAGUUCCAUCAUCCAUAGUCAAUCUUUGGAACUUGGAAACUCUGAUAUUAAAUGGUAGUGGAGGAAAGUUGUCAUUACCCUUUACAGUUUGGAAGAUGGUUAAACUGAGAUAUCUACAUGCCUCUCCGUACUUCGUUAUAAAUAAUGCAGAAGAAUCACUUGAGGACUCCUCAGAACUUUAUGAUUUAAAGUCGCUUUCCUUUCCAUGUUUUUCUUGUGUGGGAGAUGCAGAUUUGAUGCUGAGAAAAACACCUAAUCUUCGGGAACUGACAUGCAGAAUCAAGGGUGUUAGCAGAGAUCAGUUCCCUGUAUUGGAUUUUCCACCACGACUUGAAACGCUACACAUCCAUCCUACGCUUGCAGAAUCCCAAUGUGGAUACCCUGUAUGCAUUUCCGCAUCAAAUCUAAAGAAAUUGACAGUAACACUUUUUAGAUUGGGCCUUCAGCACUUAUCAAACAUUGCUCAGCUUCAGAACCUUCGGGUGCUAGAAUUGCUUUCUGUUAAAUUUGACGAUGGAAAAUGGGAAGUGAGCAAUGACGAGUUCACUCAGCUCAAAGUCUUGAAACUCUUGAAUGGUUACUUUAAAGAUUGGACUGUUGCCGAUGAUGCCUUUCCUAAUCUUGAACACUUGGCUUUGCGUCAAUGUUUCGAUCUUAAGGAGAUCCCAACAUGUUUCGGAGACAUCUGUUCCCUUAAGUCCAUUGAGGUACGAGAAUGCAACGAAUUUGUUGACAAGUCAGCCAGGGAUAUUUGGGAAACACAAGCUGAAGAUUAUCAGAAUACUGAUUUCGAGGUCUUUAUUCAUAAGUCCAUGGCACACAAGGAUAACAAUUCGGAUUACGAUGAUUGGUUAUGAAAAUGAUCUAUAAAGCAAGACAGAGGAGCUGUAGCCGAAACUUUAAGUUAGGCAUAACCCAGGCUACUUGUAAAGCCGAAUGGAGCAGAGGUUAUGGAUGGAAAGGACCCCGAAAUGGUGGGACCCUCUUCCUCAAUGACUGUGGAUGAGAAGGGGAUGUUCAUGUAGGAGGAGGACGAUGAGGUGGUGAAUGAGGAGGUGCCACUAAUUGGCAGAGGAGAGUGCAGGAUUUGCCGGGAGGAGGAUUCUUUGGACCUAUGUUGCUCGGACUCUCCGAAAAUGUCGCCGGGUGCAUGUCGAAUCCUCCAAAAGUAGUGUAUUUUUGGAGGAUCCGAUACAGGUGUAGCAGCAUUUUGGAGAGUUUGCACAACCUAGCUUUGGACAAGUUGGAGAGCCCAUGUGCUUGCAGAGGAAGUCUCAAGGAACUGAGAUGCGAAUUCAAGCCUCCAGCAAAGAUAUUCCAGCGUGUUCAAAGUCGUCUGUUCCCUGUUUUGGAUUUUCCAGCACGGCUUGAGAAGCUAGACGGUUUUGGUUCAGUACCUACAUACUUCGGUGCAUCAAAUCUUUAAAAUUUGACAUUAAGCUGUUGUGGACUGGCCUUUGGUGCUUAUCAGACAUUUUUCAGCUUCAGAACCUUCAGGCACUCGAACUGAGAACCGUUGAAUUUGGAAGAGUUUGGAAAGUGAGCAAUGACGACUUCCCUCAAGUCAGUCAUAAAACCAGAAUAUUUGUCCCUGAUAGAAUGAACUGUCCCUGAUGAUGCCUUCCCUAACCUUGAACGGUUGUUUCUGUUAUUGCAAAAAGCUUAAGGAGAUCCUUCUUGGUUUGACGACAUCUCUUCUCCAAAAUACAUUGACGUAGAGAGCUGCAACGAUUUUUUUUGCUCAGUCAGCCAGGGAUAUCCGAGAAAAAACAAGUUGAAGAUUAUCAAAAUACAGAUUUCAAGCUCUUCGUCAGAGAAUUAUACAAUAAAACUAUAUUCAGUCUCAUAUUUAAACUCUUUCCCUUACUUUACAGGUUUCUUUUUACUAAA